GAGUUUACUCCUCGGGGUUGUAGGACUGCAAUGUGGACUUAAAGAGUAUAGAAGAAUGACAUGGGAAGGUCAGCCGUAGAGAGUGAGAGCCUCGUAUUCGAAAUAGUCUUUAUACCUAGCAGUAUCCUGAGUACGGCGAGACACGCGAAAUCUCGUCGGAAUCUGGGAGGACCAUCUCCCAACCCUAAAUACUCCCUAGUGACCGAUAGUGAACCAGUACCGUGAGGGAAAGGUGAAAAGCACCCCGGAAGGGGAGUGAAAUAGAACCUGAAACCGUGUGCCUACAACAAGUUCGAGCCCGUUAAUGGGUGAGAGCGUGCCUUUUGUAGAAUGAACCGGCGAGUUACGUUAUGAUGCGAGGUUAAGUUGAAGAGACGGAGCCGUAGGGAAACCGAGUCUGAAUAGGGCGAAUUAGUAUCAUGAUGUAGACCCGAAACCAUGUGACCUACCCAUGAGCAGGUUGAAGGUGCGGUAAGACGCACUGGAGGACCGAACCAGGGCACGUUGAAAAGUGCUUGGAUGACUUGUGGGUAGCGGAGAAAUUCCAAACGAACUUGGAGAUAGCUGGUUCUCUCCGAAAUAGCUUUAGGGCUAGCGUCGACAUAGAAGAGUCUUGGAGGUAGAGCACUGUUUGGAUGAGGGGGCCAUCUCGGUUUACUGAUUUCAGAUAAACUCCGAAUGCCAAAGAUUUAUGGUCGGCAGUCAGACUGCGAGUGCUAAGAUCCGUAGUCGAAAGGGAAACAGCCCAGACCACCAGCUAAGGUCCCAAAAUAAUUGUUAAGUGGAAAAGGAUGUGGAAUUGCACAGACAACUAGGAUGUUGGCUUAGAAGCAGCCAUCAUUUAAAGAGUGCGUAAUAGCUCACUAGUCGAGUGACUCUGCGCCGAAAAUGUACCGGGGCUAAGCAUAUUACCGAAGCUGUGGAUGACACAUUAGUGUUAUGGUAGGAGAGCGUUCUAUGUGUGGAGAAGGUAUACCGUGAGGAGUGCUGGAACGCAUAGAAGUGAGAAUGCCGGUAUGAGUAGCGAAAGAUGGGUGAGAAUCCCAUCCACCGUAAGACUAAGGUUUCCAGGGGAAGGCUCGUCCGCCCUGGGUUAGUCGGGACCUAAGGAGAGACCGAAAUGUGUAUCCGAUGGACAACAGGUUGAUAUUCCUGUACUAGAGUAUAUAGUGAUGGAGGGACGCAGUAGGCUAACUAAACCAGACGAUUGGAAG
rnacentral:rRNA from 1 species